rnacentral:lncRNA from 1 species
UGAGGAGCAAAAAAGCAAGGGAAAAGGGGAGGAACCAAUGGCAGAAAGGAGGAGACAGGGGGGACAAAGGAGGAUGGUAAGUUCUAGUCUUUGCAAGACAAAGCAUUAAUUACUUGUCUAACCUUUGUUUUCCUUAAUCCUUAAGACUUUGUUAAGUCAUUAUCUCUUGCAUUUCAUUUGCUAAGUCAUUGAGAGAGAGAGAGAGGGAGAGAGAGAAUGCACGGAUUGGAGAGGAGAAGAAGGUAAAAAGCUUGGACUCAUAGGUAACACAUGAAAAACCCUAGUUCAUUCAUCUUAUCUUCUAAGUUUUUAUUAUAUUUUGAUUGUCGGGUUGUUGUUAUUGUUGUUUAUGGGGAUCAUGAUGAAUCCAAAGUGAUAAGUAGGGUAGGGUAUGAUGAUGGUAGUAUGAUUAAACCAUAUAAUAACGCAAUAAAAUGAAAGAAAAUGAACCCAAACAUAAAGGAUGGAAAAUGAGAAUUAAUGAAAUGUUUGGGGACUGUUUUAGAUCUAAAAUUUAUAGUGAUCUAAAACUGAAAAUUUUGUUCUGCAAUGAUGGGUUCUGCUAUUAUGAGUUAUGGAAAUAACCAAUUGGAACAAAGCAAAAAGAAGCUAAAAUUAAUUUAAGGUGAAUAUUUUGGUAAAACAUGUUGAAAACUGAAAUCUAGUGAGCUGCUGGCCUUUAAAAAAUUUCGGGGCUUGUUUAUGUUUCCAGAAAAUUCUGGUUUUAUGGGGGUGUAUAGUACACUAAAUAAGGAAUCUAUAGCCUCCGGAACGGACUCAUUCCGAGUCCAGAGGUGGGAGUUAUGCCCUUCAGAAGGAGGCUAGUCAAAACUGCCAAAGUAGAAAAUUAUUUCGGGUAGGGACAUUUGUCCACUGUUUUGGCCUAAAAAUGAACCUGAAAAAAAUUUCCACCUAGAGGGAAUUGAAGUAGAUGCUACAAGGAUGAAAAUGACAUGAGAACGGACUUAUUCCGACUUAAAACGAACAAGUUAUGACGUUCCAAAGUUAGUGCAACAAAAAUGUCCAAGCUAGAAAUCAUUUCGGGAGGGGACUUUUGGGCUAAAGGUUUUGGCUAGUUAGACUUGCUGGAAAAUUAUUAUUUUCUAGGGUUUUAUAUUUUCUAAUCCCAGCUAGCUAUAGCCUCCGGAAUGGACUCAUUCCGAGUUCAGACGACCGAGUUAUGACGUGCCAAAGUAGGUGCGUCGAAACUGUCCAAUCUGGAAAUCAGAUUUGGACCUGCCUUUUGUAUGAAUUUUCUGGAAUUGUAUGUUCAGAAUUUAAAAAUGGUUAAAACAUAAAAGUUGUAGCCCCGUAAGUUAGCUUCGUGUGGGUGCAAGGAUCACUCAAAAAUGUUUUGAAAUGAAUUAGUUAUGAUUUUCUAGUGAAAGUGGGUAAAACUGGCCAGAUUUUUGUAAUAAUCUGACAUUGGUUGUAUAAAGUGAAAAUCUGUUUUGAUUGAAGAAUAGCCUAAAACCAAUGUCUAGAUGAGAUUAAAUUUUUAUAAGCUUUAAUUUGACAUAAGAAUGAACAAAAACGGAUAAGAAACGAAGGAGAUACAAUAAAACAAAAAUAAUGUUUUGUUAAAGUAAAAGUGUGAAACGAGUUUUAUAACUCGGAUUGAGAUGAAAUUUUUUGUAAUGGUAUAUUUUGUCGUAUUAUAACGUAUUUAAUAUAAGAAAGUGAUUGUCCAAGAUUUUAAGAAUUUUUGGACGUAACUCCGAAUAUUGGAGAUUUUUGAGAAAGUAAACAGGAAUAUUAAAAUGUAAUUACGGGAAGUAAUUGAUGAAAUAAAAUAUCGUAAAGGGUCGUUAAGAGGGUCGUGACAUUCCCGAAAUCCGCGAUGUCGAGAGAUGUUUUGGAGUUAUUCGCGUAAAUUAAAAUAUAAUGUGCGAAUGAUAAGAAAUAAGAAUUAAUAUAAACCAAUUUGAGCGUCAUUAAGUGACUAAUUGGUAUAUUUUACAUUAUUGAUAUAUGUAGGUUAUUUAAAGAGCUAUCUAGCAUAAACGGUAAAAGAGCAUAAAAGGCAAGUUCCUUAACUUACUCGAUCUUAUAUUUGAGAAAGUUUCCAACUUCACAUGAUAAUGUUCUUAUGAAGGUUAUAUGAUGUAUUGAUGUUCAAAUUUACGCAAUUCUUAUAUAUUGUGUGAAUUUUAAUCGUAUGCAAAUCCUUUAGUAUUUAUACUAGAUGUUCAAAGUAUGCUAAAUUGCAAAGUUAUAUGUUUUGAUGUUUGAAUUUCAUUAGUUCAUGAAAUUCAUUAGAUGAGAUGAGAUGACUAUUUAAAGAUGAGAUAAACUAUUCCAUUUGGGAAUUAUAUUGAUGUAGAUUUGAAUUAUAAUAAUUCUUGAAAUGUGACAAAUUGAUGAUGCCUUAUCAAAUAAAUUGGGCAAUUGAUAGUAUAAGUUGCACUCCGUUCAACAAUGUGUUGAUGUAAGUAGAUGUGGUCAUGAUUGCACCCCGUGCAAUGAUGUGAUGGCGAUUAUAAGCAAUAAGGUGUUGAACCAAUAUUCGCACUUAGGUGCAAUUCAAAGAAAGGUUCUAAAAUUGAACCGUUUAAGAUUCUAAGUUCUGAAAAAUCAAGAACUAUGUUGAGGAAUAGGUCGAUAUUAUCUAUUUUUAAAUAUGGCAAUGAUUAGAAUGAUGUUAGCGAUAUUAGAUAAAAAGGAAUCUAAAUUAUUCAUGUUUACUCGUAUGACUUCACAAUUAUUGUUUCAAUUAAUUGUUGAAGAUUUUGGUCAGAUGUUAUUCUAAUCCUAUGAUGUUAUUUAUUCACCUGUUAUGACUUGCUGAGCAAUUAAAUAUUCACUCUUGCAAAUUCUAAUACAAUUGCAGCCAAGCCAGAGAAGACCGUAGAACUUAGUAUCAUCGAUGAGAAGAAGCUAAAGUUAGAAGAUGUGUGUAUUAAUUGUAAUAAGUAGAACUGUUGUAAUAUUGUAAAAUAAUAUUAGAUGAUGUAUUAGUUAAGGUAUUCGUACAUGGGAUUAGAAGUGAUAUGUUGUAAUAAUAUUGUAAUUACAUUCAUGUCUUAAUAUUAUGUUGGGAAAAACUAAUGAAUUACCCACUAUAGGUAGCACGUUUUACUGAUUAUACA